rnacentral:rRNA from 1 species
AACGAACGCUGGCGGCAUGCCUAACACAUGCAAGUCGAACGAGAUCUUCGGGUCUAGUGGCGCACGGGUGCGUAACGCGUGGGAAUCUGCCCUUUGGUUCGGAAUAACAGUUGGAAACGACUGCUAAUACCGGACGAUGACGAAAGUCCAAAGAUUUAUCGCCAGAGGAUGAGCCCGCGUAGGAUUAGCUUGUUGGGGUGGUAAAGGCUCACAAAGGCUACGAUCCUUAGCUGGUCUGAGAGGAUGAUCAGCCACACUGGUACUGAGACGCGGCCCAGACUCCUACGGGAGGCAGCAGUGGGGAAUAUUGGACAAGGGGCGAAAGCAUGAUCCAGCAAUGCCGCGUGAGUGAUGAAGGCCUUAGGGUUGUAAAGCUCUUUUACCCGGGAUGAUAAUGACAGUACCGGGAGAAUAAGCUCCGGCUAACUCCGUGCCAGCCGCCGCCGUAA